rnacentral:lncRNA from 1 species
UCAUCACAACAUGGUUUACGACCACCCAUUAUUACUCUAUAAGUCAACAGACUUCACACGCCAAAAAAAAAUGUUACCGAACUUAAAUUUUAUUAUAUUUCAAUAUCAUGAAAUAAACUAGGUUAGAAUCAUGGGGUCGGAAAAUGGAACAUGGAAAAGGAAAGAAAAAUAAACACAAAAGUGGUAUAAGCAACUUUAUCUCAACUAACUAACUAUAUAUAUACACACGUAUGGGGUUUCUUGGCCAUUUUUUUGGGAUGCUUGAGAAAUAAUUCAGUAUAUAAUAGUAUUCUAUAUAUAUAUAUAUCUUGAAUUGAAGUAUUUAACGGUGGGCGUGGAAAACUCGAACCGAAAUUUUGUGGCCGAUUGAGCUCUAUAUAUAACAUUAGAUAAGUACCGUGUAAUGAAGUUGUAUGUAUUUUAAUUCGAUAAAAACCUUUCCCAAUUUAGAAACUUUGUUACAGAAUGACAUAGCGUACUUUUUUUCCACCUUUCAUAUAUAUCAGCUUUACGGCUCAUGUUGGAUUACUCGUAAACUUGAUGAUAUUAGCUAACAUUUUUAUAUGUACACAAUUGUUAGUUAUUUAUAUAUGUAUGCAGAUAGUUUAUUUAUAUUAUCUUUUCUUUCUCUAAUUUCUCAAAUCUUAUAUUAACAUGAUAUUAAGUAAAUUUUAUGUUUAUCCACAUGUUAUUAAGUAAAAAGAAGAUCAUGCUACUUGCGUUUUGAUAAUGACAAGAAAAUGAGACUUAAAAUAGAGACAAAGAACAUGAGGCUUCUCUUUUAAGUUUAUCUGUUAUUUUUUAACUGAGAAAUUAAUUGUUAACAAAAGUUCAGUUAAUGACGUAUCCACGCCCCUUUUGAAGAGGAUACGUCAUAGACUCAUAGCCAGUUCCGAACACGCCAGGACUGUGCCUUAGCGUCCGAUAUCAACACAUUGGCUGUCUGGCAAAAUUUAAGAGCUGAAGCUUUCUUAAAAAGCGAGUGAUAAGACUAAUUAAUUAAGAGCCAUUUAAUUUUUUCCUGCUGACGUAUCAUUCUGCGAACCCACCGGUGCCUCUGCCUGGUGCAGAGGGUCUUGGCCGUUGACCAAUGUCGUCUCCUCCUUCUCGUGGCUGACUUUCUGUUGGUCAAACGGACUAUGUGUGUUUGGAUCAAUACCCAUUCUUAUGAGCUUCCUCUUUAUAUGAGUGUUCCAAUAAUUUUUUAUAUCGUUGUCUGUUCUUCCCGGUAGUUCUGCUGCAAUCUUCGACCAUCUACAAUGUUAAAGAUUAAUUUUAUAAAUGUCACUAAUGGAGCACAUAGUAUUUUGUUAGAGAAAUAAAAUAUUAAAAGCAGUCAACAUUUUACUAGAAAUCUAAAUCGUUUAGUUAGAUAAAAUGGAAUACACAUUCCACUCAAACAAAGGAAAACAAAUUAUAAAGAUAAAUAUUCAUCUACUAUAUAAAAUAAGUAAAAUUAGCGAAUUAUUUUGAUGAAAAAAUAAUAAUAACCUAUUGCCAAGUUGCGCAUGAAGAUCAAUGACUAGUUGAAUUUCCUCUUCACUAAAAAGACCUCUCUUGAGAUCUGGACGCAGAUAAUUAGUCCACCGGAGACGGCAACUUUUGCCGCACCUCUUUAGCCCCGCCAGCUUCGGCACAUCUCUCCAGCACCAUCCGCCGCUUGCUCCACGUGUUCUUAAGAAAUCAACUAGUUUCCCAUCUUCGUCCGCCGUCCAUGGCCCCUUUCUGAGUCCAAUCUCAUCACAACAUGGUUUACGACCACCCAUUAUUACUCUAUAAGUCAACAGACUUCACACGCCAAAAAAAAAUGUUACCGAACUUAAAUUUUAUUAUAUUUCAAUAUCAUGAAAUAAACUAGGUUAGAAUCAUGGGGUCGGAAAAUGGAACAUGGAAAUAGAAAGAAAAAUAAACACAAAAGUGGUAUAAGCAAGUUUAUCUCAACUAACUAACUAUAUAUAUACACACGUAUGGGGUUUCUUGGCCAUUUUUUUGGGAUGCUUGAGAAAUAAUUCAGUAUAUAAUAGUAUUCUAUAUAUAUAUAUAUCUUGAAUUGAAGUAUUUAACGGUGGGCGUGG